rnacentral:rRNA from 1 species
GGAAGUAAAAGUCGUAACAAGGUUUCCGUAGGUGAACCUGCGGAAGGAUCAUUAUUGAAUUAAUGUAGAGUUUGGUUGUAGCUGGCUCCUAAUUAAACUUGGGGGCAUGUGCACACCUUUCUCUUUCAUCCCAUACACACCUGUGCACCUGUGAGACAGAUGUUUUGUGGGGGGGAAGGAACUUUAUUGGACCUUCUACUCCCCCUUGACUUCUGUCUACUUAAUUCAUAUAAACUCAAUUUAUUUUAAAACGGAUGUAAUGGAUGUAACACAUCUAAUACUAAGUUUCAACAACGGAUCUCUUGGCUCUCGCAUCGAUGAAGAACGCAGCGAAAUGCGAUAAGUAAUGUGAAUUGCAGAAUUCAGUGAAUCAUCGAAUCUUUGAACGCACCUUGCGCNCCUUGGUAUUCCUUGGAGCAUGCCUGUUUGAGUAUCAUGAAAUCUUCAAAGUCAAACCUUUUGUUAAUUCAAUUGGUUCUGCUUUGGUAUUGGAGGAUUAUUGCAGCUUCACACCUGCUCCUCUUUGUGCAUUAGCUGGAUCUCAGUGUUAUGCUUGGUUCCACUCAGCGUGAUAAGUUAUCUAUCGCUGAGGACACCCUGUUAAAAAGGGGUGGCCAAGGUAAAUGCAGAUGAACCGCUUCUAAUAGUCCAUUGACUUGGACAAUAUCUAAUUUAUGAUCUGAUCUCAAAUCAGGUAGGACUACCCGCUGAACUUAAGCAUAUCAAUAAGCGGAGGA